UAAUUCGCGACGAUUAAUUUGCGAUCGGAUGCGAACCAAUGACAGAGAGAAGAAACGAAAAUAAACAACUAGCCAAUAAGCACAUAAUUCACGACCCACAAACAGAAGAAGGCAACUCAUACCAUGCGAAGGAACAUACUAGAACCUUACCGAUCCCUUCCCCUACAGCACAAAAACAGAUGGUAACAUUAGCAUUAGAAAGUAAAGGCGCACCGCCCCAUCAACUCAGAAGACGCAGGGAAAGGCCAUAAGAACAAAGAUCGUUAACAAUUUUCCCUUCCAUAUCAACCACGUAGGACCAAACCGUCAUAAGCACGAAGCGCAGACCCUUGCUGAGCCUGACGCAUUCGAGUGGUACGCGCACAGUAUACAUAACGAAGAGAAAGGGAAAGCAUUGAUUUAAUGGUAAGGCGCAAUACGAACUAAUGCUUCCCUUUAAAACAAAUAUGACCCUGCGUCAACCCACGCAUAGAAAGUAAUCAUCCCACGCAACGAAAGAAACAAAGUAAUUAAGCCCGAAAUUUAUCACCUACGCACUCAGAGACAUACUCUACGAGAAAAUACCUAAAACGUUGAAAUCUCUUUGCUUCUUUCUCGUGGGAGAAAAUUAGAUUUAGGCAAUUACGACAAUUGUCCCUUUCUAACUUUAAGAAUCAGAUAGGAUCUCCGAUAGAACUGCAUUUGUCACUUCUUAGAAUAAGCCUCCCGGAUCGACGAAAGUCGCCUAUAAAAACCCUGAACCAACCACGAAAUACAUGAUCUUACGUUUAGACUCGGAACAGGCAACUUGUCCUUCUAGAAAGAACUCCUGGUAAGUCCAAGACUAAGGUUAUCACCAACGGUUGACAACUCGACUCCUUCGGUUGCAGACUACUCGCCUGGCGGGUGUCGUUCUGACGAGUCAGCUUUCAAUCGUUAAGAGAAAGACUUCCCUAUUGGAACAUUCCACUGUCAGGUACUGGUUAAAACAUCAGCCUGUCCGUCUGAAGGGAAAGACAAGAGGAAAUAUCCACGACCGGUUCUCCCCUGUUGUCGAACCGCCAUAACAACGGUUAAACACUCGCUUCCUUCGGUUGUGGACUACUCGCCUGGCGAGUGUCGUUCCGACGAAUCAGUGCUUAACUGUUAAAGAGACACGGUUCUCUAGUCAAACCUUCCGCCAGCAGGUACUGGAUCACCCAGCCUGUCAGUCCGAAGGGGAAGAUUGGGGAAACGAACUCUAUUGGCGUUUACCAGCUAUCGAUAAGAUCGCGUGAACACCGCGAGAUCGUACUAGAGUCGACGCGCGGA